UAGUAACGGCGAGUGAAGAGGAUGAGCUCAAAUUUUGAAUCUGGUGUCUUGGGCACCCGAGUUGUAUACUAGAGAAGUGUUUCAGUGUUGGACCAUGCACAAGUCCCCUGGAACGGGGCGUCAUAGAGGGUGAGAAUCCGUAUGUGGCAUGGACUCCCUUCACUUUGUGAUACACUCUCGACGAGUCGAGUUGUUUGGAAUGCAGCUCCAAAUGGGUGGUAAAUUCCAUCUAAAGCUAAAUAUUGGCGAGAGACCGUAGCGAACAAGUACCGCGAGGGAAAGAUGAAAAGCACUUUGGAAAGAGAGUGAAACAGUCGUGAAAUUGUUGAAAAGGGAAACGCUUGAAGU
rnacentral:rRNA from 1 species